rnacentral:misc_RNA from 1 species
UCCGGAAAUCUUUGAAUAGAGAAGAUUGGGGUGGCGGUGGUGGGUGUGGGGAUGAACCUGCGAAUGUAAGAAAGUUCGGUGCUGGAAGCGGGGACGCUGCUGACCGGGAUGCCAGUAGCGUGAAAGUUGGUAACUGGUUGAAAAAAACAAAAACACGUGGAAUGGCCAAACAAACAAACACGUGGAGGAAUUCCAGGACGAGAAGCAAUCUC